GUGAAUCAUCAAAUCUUUGAACGCAAAUUGCACUCACUGGUAUUCCGGGGAGUAUGCUUGCUUGAGGGUUAGUUUAUUACAAUCGUAAAAAGAAAUUUUUACUGACCUGGAUUUUCCAAAAGUUAUAUUUUUGGUAAUCUAAAAGAUAUUAUAACAAAAGGUAAUAUUGGACAUGUUUAUCUUUAAUUCAUUAACAACUUUUACCCAAUUUGUUACUA
rnacentral:misc_RNA from 1 species